rnacentral:rRNA from 1 species
AACUCCGAAUACCUUAUAUGUAAUCACAGCAGUCAGGCGGCGAGUGAUAAAAUCCGUCGUCAAGAGGGAAACAACCCAGACUACCAGCUAAGGUCCCUAAAUCUUACUUAAGUGGAAAACGAUGUGAAGUUACUUAAACAACCAGGAGGUUGGCUUAGAAGCAGCCAUCCUUUAAAGAAAGCGUAAUAGCUCACUGGUCUAGUGAUUUUGCGCGGAAAAUAUAACGGGGCUAAAGUAAGUACCGAAGCUGUAGACUUGCGCACAACUUAGAUUAUUUAAGUUUAGAAUAUGAGAAACUAAGUUAUAUGUUUAGUUAUAUUUUUACUGAUUUUUAUAGAGUAAAGAUAGAAAUAAAACUUAGUAAAAUCAGUAAAAAUAUUCUUAGACUAAAGUUAAGUAGUUUAAGUUGUGUGCAAGUGGUAGGAGAGCGUUCUAUUUGCGUCGAAGGUAUACCGGUAAGGAGUGCUGGAGCGAAUAGAAGUGAGCAUGCAGGCAUGAGUAGCGAUAAUUAAUGUGAGAAUCAUUAACGCCGUAAACCCAAGGUUUCCUACGCGAUGCUCGUCAUCGUAGGGUUAGUCGGGUCCUAAGUCGAGUCCGAAAGGGGUAGACGAUGGCAAAUUGGUUAAUAUUCCAAUACCAACAUUAGUGUGCGAUGGAAGGACGCUUAGGGCUAAGGGGGCUAGCGGAUGGAAGUGCUAGUCUAAGGUCGUAGGAGGUUAUACAGGCAAAUCCGUAUAACAAUACUCCGAGAACUGAAAGGCUUUUUGAAGUCUUCGGAUGGAUAGAAGAACCCCUGAUGCCGUCGAGCCAAGAAAAGUUUCUAAGUUUAGCUAAUGUUGCCCGUACCGUAAACCGACACAGGUGGGUGGGAUGAGUAUUCUAAGGCGCGUGGAAGAACUCUCUUUAAGGAACUCUGCAAAAUAGCACCGUAUCUUCGGUAUAAGGUGUGGUUCGCUUCGUAUUAGGAUUUACUCCGAAAGCGAAGAAACUUACAACAAAGAGUCCCUCCCGACUGUUUACCAAAAACACAGCACUCUGCUAACUCGUAAGAGGAUGUAUAGGGUGUGACGCCUGCCCGGUGCUCGAAGGUUAAUUGAUGGGGUUAGCAUUAGCGAAGCUCUUGAUCGAAGCCCGAGUAAACGGCGGCCGUAACUAUAACGGUCCUAAGGUAGCGAAAUUCCUUGUCGGUUAAAUACCGACCUGCAUGAAUGGCGUAACGAGAUGGGAGCUGUCUCAAAGAGGGAUCCAGUGAAAUUGUAGUGGAGGUGAAAAUUCCUCCUACCCGCGGCAAGACGGAAAGACCCCGUGGACCUUUACUACAGCUUGACACUGCUAUUUGGAUAAGAAUGUGCAGGAUAGGUGGGAGGCUUUGAGUAUAUGACGCCAGUUGUAUAUGAGCCAUUGUUGAGAUACCACUCUUUCUUAUUUGGGUAGCUAACCAGCUUGAGUUAUCCUCAAGUGGGACAAUGUCUGGUGGGUAGUUUGACUGGGGCGGUCGCCUCCCAAAUAAUAACGGAGGCUUACAAAGGUUGGCUCAGAACGGUUGGAAAUCGUUCGUAGAGUAUAAAGGUAUAAGCCAGCUUAACUGCAAGACAUACAAGUCAAGCAGAGACGAAAGUCGGUCUUAGUGAUCCGGUGGUUCUGUGUGGAAGGGCCAUCGCUCAAAGGAUAAAAGGUACCCCGGGGAUAACAGGCUGAUCUCCCCCAAGAGCUCACAUCGACGGGGAGGUUUGGCACCUCGAUGUCGGCUCAUCGCAUCCUGGGGCUGGAGCAGGUCCCAAGGGUAUGGCUGUUCGCCAUUUAAAGCGGUACGCGAGCUGGGUUCAGAACGUCGUGAGACAGUUCGGUCCCUAUCUGCCGUGGGCGUAAGAAGAUUGAAGAGAUUUGACCCUAGUACGAGAGGACCGGGUUGAACAAACCACUGGUGUAGCUGUUGUUCUGCCAAGAGCAUCGCAGCGUAGCUAAGUUUGGAAAGGAUAAACGCUGAAAGCAUCUAAGCGUGAAGCCAACUCUAAGAUGAAUCUUCUCUAAGCUCUCUAGAAGACUACUAGUUUGAUAGGCUGGGUGUGUAAUGGAUGAAAGUCCUUUAGCUGACCAGUACUAAUAGAGCGUUUGGCUUAUCUUUAAUAAAGCAU